GGAGUUAGCCGGUGCUUCUUCUGUGAGUGAUGUCCUUCCUGCCGGUUAUUGACCCGCAGGCCUUCUUCCUCACUGAAAGUGCUUUACAACCCGAAGGCCUUCUUCACACACGCGGCAUGGCUGGAUCAGGGUUGCCCCCAUUGUCCAAUAUUCCCCACUGCUGCCUCCCGUAGGAGUCUGGGCCGUGUCUCAGUCCCAGUGUGGCUGAUCAUCCUCUCAGACCAGCUACGGAUCGUCGCCUUGGUGAGCCGUUACCUCACCAACCAGCUAAUCCGACAUAGGCUCAUCCGAUAGCGCGAGGCCCGAAGGUCCCCCGCUUUCCCCCGUAGGGCGUAUGCGGUAUUAGCCUGGGUUUCCCCAGGGUUAUCCCCCACUACCGGGCAGAUUCCUAUGCAUUACUCACCCGUCCGCCGCUCGCCACCAGGGAGCAAGCUCCCCGUGCUGCCGCUCGACUUGCAUGUGUAGCUCGCCGCCACGCGUCAUCUGAGCGAGAUACAACUACUCGA
rnacentral:rRNA from 1 species